AUACGUAGGGAGCGAGCGUUGUCCGGAAUUACUGGGUGUAAAGGGAGCGUAGGCGGAAGUGCAAGUCAGAUGUGAAAUGCAUGGGCUUAACCCAUGAGCUGCAUUUGAAACUGCAUUUCUUGAGUGAAGUAGAGGUAAGCGGAAUUCCUGGUGUAGCGGUGAAAUGCGUAGAUAUCAGGAGGAACACCGGUGGCGAAGGCGGCUUACUGGGCUUUUACUGACGCUGAGGCUCGAAAGCGUGGGGAGCAAACAGGAUUAGAUACCCUGGUAGUCCACGCUGUAAACGAUGAUUACUAGGUGUGGGGGGACUGACCCCUUCCGUGCCGCAGUUAACACAAUAAGUAAUCCACCUGGGGAGUACGGCCGCAAGGUUGAAACUCAAAUGAAUUGACGGGG
rnacentral:rRNA from 1 species